AGAGUUUGAUUCUGGCUCAGAUUGAACGCUGGCGGCAUGCCUUACACAUGCAAGUCGAACGGCAGCACGGGGGCAACCCUGGUGGCGAGUGGCGAACGGGUGAGUAAUACAUCGGAACGUGCCCUGAAGUGGGGGAUAACGUAGCGAAAGUUACGCUAAUACCGCAUAUUCUGUGAGCAGGAAAGCAGGGGAUCGCAAGACCUUGCGCUUUAGGAGCGGCCGAUGUCGGAUUAGCUAGUUGGUGAGGUAAAGGCUCACCAAGGCGACGAUCCGUAGCGGGUCUGAGAGGAUGAUCCGCCACACUGGGACUGAGACACGGCCCAGACUCCUACGGGAGGCAGCAGUGGGGAAUUUUGGACAAUGGGCGCAAGCCUGAUCCAGCCAUGCCGCGUGAGUGAAGAAGGCCUUCGGGUUGUAAAGCUCUUUCGGCGGGGAAGAAAUCGCACGGGUUAAUACCCUGUGUGGAUGACGGUACCCGAAUAAGAAGCACCGGCUAACUACGUGCCAGCCGCCGCGGUAA
rnacentral:rRNA from 1 species